rnacentral:rRNA from 1 species
AUGUGUUUUCAGAGGGGGUGUCUGGACAAGAUUUGUGUUUGCUCCUUUUCCAUUCGUUCCCCUUGCAUCUUUCACUUAGAUCCUUACUCCAUUUUAGCCGGGAGCUCAUUAUACAUGAUGUAUGUUGUAGGCAUGAUAGUCUGCUUUGACAUUCCUAGCUCUACCUUCACUGUUAUCCAACUACCUAUAUCAGCCAGGUCUUGUUUCGAUUAUAGUGUUUCCUUGAAUGAGUAUGGCAUCCUGUCUCUAAUUAACUAUUCCCAUGGCUCGCUAAAUACGUGCCUUCUUCAACUAGUACACGGCCGCUUGCAGUGGAGCAGUUGCUCAAGAUUAGAUCUAGUAGAAACAUUCUCGAGGAGGGCUGCACCUACCAUAUGGCAGUCUGCAUUCGGCAUGCAGUAUGGCGAGGUUGGCCCUAGUGAUUUCUACUCUGUUCAGAUCAGAUCAGCUAGCAAGAACUCAUCAGUUGUUCUGUUAACCUUUGCAUUUGACCAUGGCAUGUUUGUUGUUGACACGGACAACACCACUGUCAAUGAGGUUCCCUGGUUUCCCGAUGACGGACAAAUGAGGGAAGAAUUCCCCUUGACGGAACGGUGGCCACCCACUUUCCUUGACUGA